AACGAACGCUGGCGGCAUGCCUAACACAUGCAAGUCGAACGAGACCUUCGGGUCUAGUGGCGCACGGGUGCGUAACGGGUGGGAACCUGCCCUUAGGUUCGGAAUAACUCCCCGAAAGGGGUGCUAAUACCGGAUAAUGUCUUCGGACCAAAGAUUUAUCGCCUUUGGAGGGGCCCGCGUUGGAUUCGCUAGUUGGUAGGGUAAAAGACUACCAAGGCGACGAUCCAUAGCUGGUCUCAGAGGAUGAUCAGCCACACUGGGACUGAGACACGGCCCAGACUCCUACGGGAGGCAGCAGUGGGGAAUAGUGGACAAUGGGCGAAAGCCUGAUCCAGCUAUGCCGCGUGAGUGAUGAAGGCCUUAGGGUUGUAAAGCUCUUUUACCCGGGAUGAUAAUGACAGUACCGGGAGAAUAAGCUCCGGCUAACUCCGUG
rnacentral:rRNA from 1 species